CACUUCUAAGGAAGGCAGCAGGCGCGCAAAUUACCCAAUCCUGACUCAGGGAGGUAGUGACAAGAAAUAACAAUAAACCGGCUUAUGCCGGUUUAAUUGGAAUGAGUACAAUUUAAACAUCUUAACGAGGAACAAUAGGAGGGCAAGUCUGAUGCCAGCAGCCGCGGUAAUUCCAGCUCCAAUAGCGUAUACUAAAGUUGUUGCAGUUAAAAAGCUCGUAGUUGGAUUUCUGUGGGGACGGAGCGGCCGGCCGCACAUCGCGGUUCGAGCUAGCGCUUUCCCUACAUCCUGCCGCGAACCGUGCUACCAUUAAUUUGGUGGCGCCGGGGAUCGGCUCGAUUACUUUGAGAAAAAUAGAGUGUUCAAAGCAGGCCACAUGCCUUGAAUAAGUUAGCAUGGAAUAAUAACUAAGGACUUCGGUUCUAUUUUGUUGGUGUUCGGGACUGAAGUAAUGAUUGAUAGGGACAGUUGGGGCGGUCUGUAUUCCAAAGCGAGAGGUGAAAUUCUUAGACCUUCGGAAGACAAACAGCUGCGAAAGCGUUCCGCAAGGAUGUUCCCUUUGAUCAAGAACGAGAGUGUGGGGAUCGAAGAUUAUCAGAUACCGUCGUAGUUCACUACUGUAAACAAUGCCGUCUCAGGAUUGAGAAGUGAACUGAAUGACUUUCACAGCACUAACCCCUGAAACGAGAAAUCAAAGAUUAUGGGUUCAGGGGGGAGUACAUUCGCAAGGCUGAAACUUAAAGGAAUUGACGGAAUGACACCACAAGGCGUGGAGUAUGCGGCUUAAUUUGACUCAACACGGGGAAUUUUACUAGGUCAGGACAAUGUAAGGAUUGACAGAUUGAGAGCUCUUUCUCGAUCCAUUGUGUGGUGGUGCAUGGCCGCUCCUGGUUGGUGGAGUGAUUUGUCUGGUUGAUUCCGUUAACGAACGAGAUCUCGACCCUUAAAUAGGUGCCCGUGUCGAUCGUAGUUUCACUCCUGCUCGCUUGCGAGACUAGGAUGGGACGAGACUGCGGGAAUACUUCUUAAGGGGACUGUAUGCGUCUACGCAUGCGGAAGAGCGAGCCAAUAGCAGGUCUGUGAUGCUCCUAAAUGUCCUAGGCUGCACGCGCACUACACUGAUGCAAUAAACGAGUCUGACGGCCUUCUGGCAACCUACCUGGAAGCGGGUGGGAAAUCUUUUGAACUUGCAUCGUGAUGAGGAUCGACGAUUGCAAUUAUUCUCCUUGAAUGAGGAAUGCCUAGUAGGCACAAGUCAUCAGCUUGUACUGAUUACGUCCCUGCCAUUUGUACACACCGCCCGUCGUUGCUACUGAUUGGCUGUAGGGUAGAGAUCGGCGGAUUCCGAGCUGUUGGGGCAACUCUUCAGUUUGGGAGAAACCUAUCAAUAUUCUGCAGCUAGAA
rnacentral:rRNA from 1 species